UCCAGACUCCUACGGGAGGCAGCAGUGAGGAAUAUUGGUCAAUGGGCGGGAGCCUGAACCAGCCAAGUCGCGUGAGGGAUUAAGGCCCUGCGGGUCGUAAACCUCUUUUGCCGGGGAGCAGAGGUCCGGACGUGUCCGGGCCGGGAGAGUACCCGGAGAAAAAGCAUCGGCUAACUCCGUGCCAGCAGCCGCGGUAAUACGGGGGAUGCAAGCGUUAUCCGGAUUUAUUGGGUUUAAAGGGUGCGUAGGCUGUGAGGUAAGUCAGCGGUGAAAUGCCCCCGCUCAACGGGGUGAAGUGCCAUUGAUACUGCCUUGCUGGAAUGCGGAUGCCGUGGGAGGAAUGUGUGGUGUAGCGGUGAAAUGCAUAGAUAUCACACAGAACACCGAUUGCGAAGGCAUCUCACGAAUCCGCGAUUGACGCUGAUGCACGAAAGCGUGGGUAUCAAACAGGAUUAGAUACCCGCGUAGA
rnacentral:rRNA from 1 species